rnacentral:rRNA from 1 species
CAGGCUUAACACAUGCAAGUCGAGGGGCAGCAUUUUAGUUUGCUUGCAAACUGAAGAUGGCGACCGGCGCACGGGUGAGUAACACGUAUCCAACCUGCCGAUAACUCCGGGAUAGCCUUUCGAAAGAAAGAUUAAUACCGGAUAGCAUACGAAUAUCGCAUGAUAUUUUUAUUAAAGAAUUUCGGUUAUCGAUGGGGAUGCGUUCCAUUAGUUUGUUGGCGGGGUAACGGCCCACCAAGACUACGAUGGAUAGGGGUUCUGAGAGGAAGGUCCCCCACAUUGGAACUGAGACACGGUCCAAACUCCUACGGGAGGCAGCAGUGAGGAAUAUUGGUCAAUGGGCGCGAGCCUGAACCAGCCAAGUAGCGUGAAGGAUGAAGGCUCUAUGGGUCGUAAACUUCUUUUAUAUGGGAAUAAAGUUUUCCACGUGUGGAAUUUUGUAUGUACCAUAUGAAUAAGGAUCGGCUAACUCCGUGCCAGCAGCCGCGGUAAUACGGAGGAUCCGAGCGUUAUCCGGAUUUAUUGGGUUUAAAGGGAGCGUAGGUGGAUUGUUAAGUCAGUUGUGAAAGUUUGCGGCUCAACCGUAAAAUUGCAGUUGAAACUGGCAGUCUUGAGUACAGUAGAGGUGGGCGGAAUUCGUGGUGUAGCGGUGAAAUGCUUAGAUAUCACGAAGAACUCCGAUUGCGAAGGCAGCUCACUAGACUGUCACUGACACUGAUGCUCGAAAGUGUGGGUAUCAAACAGGAUUAGAUACCCUGGUAGUCCACACAGUAAACGAUGAAUACUCGCUGUUUGCGAUAUACAGUAAGCGGCCAAGCGAAAGCAUUAAGUAUUCCACCUGGGGAGUACGCCGGCAACGGUGAAACUCAAAGGAAUUGACGGGGCCCGCACAAGCGGAGGAACAUGUGGUUUAAUUCGAUGAUACGCGAGGAACCUUACCCGGGCUUAAAUUGCAACAGAAUAUAUUGGAAACAGUAUAGCCGUAAGGCUGUUGUGAAGGUGCUGCAUGGUUGUCGUCAGCUCGUGCCGUGAGGUGUCGGCUUAAGUGCCAUAACGAGCGCAACCCUUAUCUUUAGUUACUAACAGGUCAUGCUGAGGACUCUAGAGAGACUGCCGUCGUAAGAUGUGAGGAAGGUGGGGAUGACGUCAAAUCAGCACGGCCCUUACGUCCGGGGCUACACACGUGUUACAAUGGGGGGUACAGAAGGCGGCUACCUGGUGACAGGAUGCUAAUCCCAAAAACCUCUCUCAGUUCGGAUCGAAGUCUACAACCCGACUUCGUGAAGCUGGAUUCGCUAGUAAUCGCGCAUCAGCCAUGGCGCGGUGAAUACGUUCCCGGGCCUUGUACACACCGCCCGUCAAGCCAUGAAAGCCGGGGGUACCUGAAGUACGUAACCGCAAGGAGCGUCCUAGGGUAAAACUGGUAAUUGGG